rnacentral:rRNA from 1 species
AACUGGAGAGUUUGAUCCUGGCUCAGAACGAACGCUCGCGGCGUGCCUAACACAUGCAAGUCGUGCGAGAAAGCGGCCUUCGGGCCGUGAGUAAAGCGGCAGACGGGUGAGUAACACGUGGGUAACCUGUCCUCGAGUGGGGGAUAACCCGGGGAAACCCGGGCUAAUACCGCAUAACAUCGCCGAAUCCUCGGAUUCGGCGAUCAAAGCUGGGGAUCUUCGGACCUAGCGCUCGAGGAGGGGCCCGCGGCCGAUUAGCUUGUUGGUGGGGUAAUGGCCCACCAAGGCUGCGAUCGGUAGCCGGCCUGAGAGGGUGUCCGGCCACACUGGGACUGAGACACGGCCCAGACUCCUACGGGAGGCAGCAGUGAGGA